UACAGAGGGUGCGAGCGUUAAUCGGAAUUACUGGGCGUAAAGCGUGCGCAGGCGGUUCGUCGUGUCCGAUGUGAAAGCCCCGGGCUCAACCUGGGAAUGGCAUUGGAAACUGGCGGGCUUGAGUGUGGCAGAGGGGGGUGGAAUUCCGCGUGUAGCAGUGAAAUGCGUAGAGAUGCGGAGGAACACCGAUGGCGAAGGCAGCCCCCUGGGCUAACACUGACGCUCAGGCACGAAAGCGUGGGGAGCAAACAGG
rnacentral:rRNA from 1 species